GAGUUUGAUCAUGGCUCAGAGCGAACGCUGGCGGCAGGCUUAACACAUGCAAGUCGAGCGGGCCCUUCGGGGUCAGCGGCGGACGGGUGAGUAACGCGUGGGAACGUGCCUUCUGGUUCGGAAUAACCCUGGGAAACUAGGGCUAAUACCGGAUACGCCCUUUUGGGGAAAGGUUUACUGCCGGAAGAUCGGCCCGCGUCUGAUUAGCUAGUUGGUGGGGUAAUGGCCUACCAAGGCGACGAUCAGUAGCUGGUCUGAGAGGAUGAUCAGCCACACUGGGACUGAGACACGGCCCAGACUCCUACGGGAGGCAGCAGUGGGGAAUAUUGGACAAUGGGCGCAAGCCUGAUCCAGCCAUGCCGCGUGAGUGAUGAAGGCCUUAGGGUUGUAAAGCUCUUUUAUCCGGGACGAUAAUGACGGUACCGGAGGAAUAAGCCCCGGCUAACUUCGUGCCAGCCGCCGCCGUAAC
rnacentral:rRNA from 1 species